rnacentral:sRNA from 1 species
GUAGCUGAUAAAGUAGAGUGAGUGAUAAGCUUAGACUAGCCAUGUGACCAUGCAUGGAACCAGAAUCAAAUUUUUCCUCAGUCCCAUUCUCAAAUAUCUUAGUUCUGGUUCCAUAUGAUGUUAAUGAAAUCAGUCACUUUACAAGAUUUAUAUAAUAGUUCUAGUCUCAGAUCAUGUUUUAGUUAUAAAUUAUCAGUUCUGAUUCCAUUUGAUUCCAUUUUACAAAAUGGGACCAAACAGGACCAUGAUUUACUCUAUAUAGAUUGGCAGCAUUGAUAGAUUAGCAGUGAUAGAUAGAUUAGCAGAAGUAGAUAGCUUAGCAGCGAGGGAUAGCUUAGCAGCGAGGGAUAGCUUAGCAGCGAGGGAUAGCUUAGCAGUGAGGGAUAGCUUAGCAGCGAGGGAUAGCUUAGCAGUAAGAGAUAGAUUGGCAGCAGCGAUAGAUUAGCAGCAGUAGAUGAAUUGACAGAGGUAAAUUGAUUGACAGCAUU